GCAUUGAUAGCUUAUCUCUAGAGCAUAGCACUGAAGAUGCUAAGGUGACAAAGAUUGUCUCAAAGCA
rnacentral:tRNA from 1 species